GGGGCGAAAAACCUGNCNGCACUGCCGCGUGUGUGAAGAAAGGUCCUUCGGAUUGUAAACCACUUUAUGUUGGGAAGAAAGGCAUCUGAAUUAAUACUUUGCUGGNUUGACGUUACCGACAGAAUAAGCACCGGCUAACUCUGUGCCAGCAGCCGCGGUAAUACAUAGGGUGCAAGCGUUAAUCGGAAUUACUGGGCGUAAAGCGCGCGCAGGNGGUUCGUNAAGNNNGAUGUGAAAUCCCCGGGCUCAACCUGGGAACUGCAUUNNAAACUGACCAGCUAGAGUGNGGNAGAGGGUGGUGGAAUUNCCUGUGUAGCNGUGAAAUGCGUAGAUAUACGAAGGAACACCAAUGGCGAAGGCNACCACCUGGACUGGUACUGACACUGAUGCGCGAAAGCGUGGGGAGCAAACAGGAUUAGAUACCCUGGUAGUCCACGCCGUAAACGAUGUCAACUAGCCGUUGGGAGCCUUGNGCUCUUAUUGGCUCACCUAACCCAUUAANUUNNCCGCCUGGGGAGUCCGGCCNCAAGGUUAAAACUCAAAUGAAUU
rnacentral:rRNA from 1 species